UACGUAGGGGGCAAGCGUUGUCCGGAUUUAUUGGGCGUAAAGAGCUCGUAGGCGGUUUGGUAAGUCGGAUGUGAAAUCUCCAGGCUCAACCUGGAGGGGUCAUCCGAUACUGCCAUGACUUGAGUUCGGUAGGGGGAGUGUGGAAUUCCUGGUGUAGCGGUGAAAUGCGCAGAUAUCAGGAGGAACACCGGUGGCGAAGGCGGGACUC
rnacentral:rRNA from 1 species